rnacentral:lncRNA from 1 species
AUCAUUUAAUCACGCAUCUUGUUACUUAGUUGACUCUGUACAUAUUCUACAUGUGCUUUGUAAAACAUAGAUAGAUACUAAGUCUCACAUCGGCUACAUUGCAAGCUUAUAAAGCCAAACUAUGGUGGCGUUUAGCUUGGGAAUGGGGAGUUUCCUCCCACCAUGGGAAAGCUCCCCUUUCCAGAACACCUGUCAGUGGGUUACCUCUUUGAUAAAAAUAAAUAAAAAACUGAAAAUUGUUAUUUAAUGUUGUUUGUUUUUUCUAAUGCACCUCCCCCCUGUUUACUAUUGCUUCACAUCACUUCUAUUAUUUUCAGAAGACCACCUCAUUCAUUUCCUUCCCUUCGACCUUCUCUCCACCAGCUUAUUAUUUUUUCUUUGAAAAGAACAAAACUCUUUCUCUCCAACAGCUAAAAAUGAAACUCAACAUAUCCAUGGAAAAAUAAUCCCAAUAGUUUUUCAAACUAAAACAACUAAAUCCAAUCCAAGAGUCUCAAUUUACAGCUCACAGAUAUCAAUAAUUUAUUUGGAUCUACAGCUCAAUAAUAUCCAAUCUAAGAGUUUUUAUAAAUCUGAUUCAUAUCAAUAAACUUUUUCUCUCAGUUUUCAAUUUAUUUAUUCUAUAUAAAUUUCUUUUUAUUUUUGCAGCUCUGAUGAAAAAUGAAAAUGAAUUAUUUUUGCAGAUCUGAAUAAAAAUGAAAAUGAAGGAGGAAGAAUGAGGAAAACACCCAAAAUUUCCAUGAAAACACUCAAGAUUGAAUAGAAUUAGAAAUUUUGGGGGAAAAAAAUCUGAAUUAAAGGGAAGAACCGAAAGGUGAACAUGAAGAAAGAAGAACUGAGAUGAAUUUUUGAAAGAGAACUUCAAAGAGGAAUUUUUGGAAAAGAACUUCAAAGCCAUCGAAUAAUUGACAUGUUGGAGUCUUCUUAUUUUAAUUACCUUUUAUGUUUGUAUUAAUUACUAAUAAUUAAAAGAGAAGUUCUAG